UGUGCUAUAUUUGAAUACAGUGACAGCAUAUCUUGAACUUUGUAAGGUGUAAGGUUGUUCCAAUUCUCUGAAGGUGUCUUAAGUCUGAGAACUACACUGGCCCAGAAAUACCUACCUAAAUGAACAGAUCUAAGCAGCUUCUAGAUACUAGGACAGUACAAUGACAGAUUUACCUACACAUCCUGGGAUUGUACAGGAAAGAAGUAUUGAGGCAUUUUAAAGAAGAUCUCCUUGUAUGUAUGGAAAUGAAAUAAAAUAAAUGGAACAGAUAUUACACUCUCCACGAUUCUCAAAGCCAAAUAUUAGAGAUAUAUGAAAAAGAAGGUCUACAAAUAUUUAAGACUACAGUUCAGGGUUUUUCAAACUGUGAGAUACAUGUACCUCCCCUGGGGAAGUGCAGACAAACUCCAGAGGAAGCAUGAAGAACCUAUUAAUUGCAUCGUCUCAAUAAAUCCACCUUCCCCAAAGUU